UACAGAGGUCCCAAGCGUUGUCCGGAAUUAUUGGGCGUAAAGAGCUCGUAGGCGGUUUGUCGCGUCGAAUGUGAAAACCCGGGGCUCAACCCCGGGCCUGCAUUCGAUACGGGCAGACUAGAGUUCGGUAGGGGAGUCUGGAAUUCCUGGUGUAGCGGUGAAAUGCGCAGAUAUCAGGAGGAACACCGGUGGCGAAGGCGGGACUCUGGGCCGAUACUGACGCUGAGGUGCGAAAGCGUGGGGAGCAAACAGG
rnacentral:rRNA from 1 species